AGUGAACGCUGGCGGUAGGCCUAACACAUGCAAGUCGAACGGCAGCACAGUAAGAGCUUGCUCUUACGGGUGGCGAGUGGCGGACGGGUGAGGAAUACAUCGGAAUCUACUUUUUCGUGGGGGAUAACGUAGGGAAACUUACGCUAAUACCGCAUACGACCUACGGGUGAAAGCAGGGGAUCUUCGGCCCUUGCGCGGUUGAAUGAGCCGAUGUCGGAUUAGCUAGUUGGCGGGGUAAAGGCCCACCAAGGCGACGAUCCGUAGCUGGUCUGAGAGGAUGAUCAGCCACACUGGAACUGAGACACGGUCCAGACUCCUACGGGAGGCAGCAGUGGGGAAUAUUGGACAAUGGGCGCAAGCCUGAUCCAGCAAUACCGCGUGGGUGAAGAAGGCCUUCGGGUUGUAAAGCCCUUUUGGUGGGAAAGAAAAGCAGCAGGUUAAUACCCCGCUGUUCUGACGGUACCCAAAGAAUAAGCACCGGCUAACUUCGUG
rnacentral:rRNA from 1 species